rnacentral:rRNA from 1 species
UACCAUCACCCCGAGUGGUCGGGACGAUUAUUGGGCCUAAAGCAUCCGUAGCCGGUCCUACAAGUCUUCCGUUAAAUCCACCUGCUUAACAGAUGGGCUGCGGAAGAUACUAUAGGGCUAGGAGGCGGGAGAGGCAAGCGGUACUCAGUGGGUAGGGGUAAAAUCCUCUGAUCCAUUGAAGACCACCAGUGGCGAAGGCGGCUUGCCAGAACGCGCUCGACGGUGAGGGAUGAAAGCUGGGGGAGCAAACCGG